rnacentral:tRNA from 1 species
GAAAAAUAGCUCAAGGGUAGAGCACCUGUUUUAUAAACGGAAGAUUAAGUGUUCGAGUCACUUAUUUUUUU